rnacentral:rRNA from 1 species
UACGUAGGGAGCAAGCGUUGUCCGGAAUCAUUGGGCGUAAAGCGCGCGUAGGCGGCCUCGUAAGUCCGUUGUGAAAGUCAAAGGCUCAACCUUUGAAAGCCGAUGGAUACUGUGAGGCUAGAGUCCGGAAGUGGCGAGUGGAAUUCCUGGUGUAGCGGUGGAAUGCGCAGAUAUCAGGAGGAACACCAAUAGCGAAGGCAGCUCGCUGGGACGGUACUGACGCUAAGGCGCGAAAGCGUGGGGAGCGAACAGG